AUGGAGAGGGGUCGCGCGAAAAGGGAGAAGGGGGUCAGAAAGUGCCGCGGUUCGGGGGAGGUGAGGACCGAGCAGGCGCUGACCGACAAGGUAGCGCCCGCGUGGAACGAGGAAAAGGUGCAGGGCGGGGAGAAGGCGCGGAGCGAGGGGAAGGCCAGUGGCGAGGAGAGGUCCCGAGGCAAUGAGGGGGCCUCUGAGAAGGGACGUGGUUCUACGAAGGGGCGGGGUGAGGGGCAGGUUCGAGAAGAACAGCUCUCCAAGGACCCGGCGAAAGGACGGGUCUUUAAGGGUCGGAUCGAAGAACAAGGACGGGUCCAGGAACAGGGGCGGGGCAAGGAGGGGAAGCCGAGGGCAGAGCCAGCUCCCGCAGAGAAACAGGGGCGGGGACAGGGAAGGGGGCACGGCAUGGAGAGGGUCCCGGUCCAGGACCCAGAAAAGGGAAAGGCUAGAUACAGGACCCGGUACCAGGGCAGCGCCCGGGCCAGGAGAAAGGGGAGAUGCGAAGAGAAGUGGGAGGGCGGGGCAAAGGGUGGAGGCGGAACCAGGUGCACGUGCAAAUGCAAGUGCACGACCAGAGAAAGUAGCAGGAUUGGGGAAAAUAGAUGGGGCAUGGCCAAAGCAAGAAACAGAAACCGAAGCUGGGCGAAGAGUAGGAGCCGGAUGCAGAGCAGAGGCGGAGCAAAGAACAGGUGUAGGGCAAGGUUAAGGGGUGAGGCGAGGAGGCGGGGCGAAACUAGGCGCAGGGCCAUGUCCAGGAGCAGCAGUAGAGGAGGGACCUGGAAUAUUAGUAGAAGUGGGGUCCCGAAUAGGAGCAGAUGCAGCAUCUUGGUCAAGGGCGAAAUCUGGAGCAGGAGCGGAGCCAGGAGCAAGAGCAGGGGCGGGUCCAGGAGCAAGUGCAGGGGCGGGUCCAGGAGCAAGAGCGGGGGCGGGGCCAGGAGCAAGAGCGGGGGCGGGGCCAGGAGCAAGUGCAGGGGCGGGGCCAGGAGCAAGAGCAGGGGCGGGGCCAGGAGCAAGAGCGGGGGCGGGGCCAGGAGCAAGUGCAGGGGCGGGGCCAGGAGCAAGAGCAGGGGCGGGUCCAGGAGCAAGAGUAGGGGCGGGUCCAGGAGCAAGAGCAGGGCGGGGUCCAGGAGCAAGUGCAGGGGCGGGGCCAGGAACAAGUGCAGGGGCGGGUCCAGGAGCAAGUGCAGGGGCGGGGCCAGGAGCCAGGGCUGGGCGAAGGGCAGGAACUUGGUAGGAUCUCGGAAGGCUGCUCUCCCGCGCAGUCUGGCUCGCGGGUGUUGA
rnacentral:lncRNA from 1 species